rnacentral:rRNA from 1 species
UGGCGAACGGGUGAGUAGCACGUGGGUGAUCUGCCCUGCACUCUGGGAUAAGCCUGGGAAACUGGGUCUAAUACCGGAUAGGACCAUGCUUUAGUGUGUGCGGUGGAAAGUUUUUUCGGUGUAGGAUGAGCCCGCGGCCUAUCAGCUUGUUGGUGGGGUAAUGGCCUACCAAGGCGGCGACGGGUAGCCGGACUGAGAGGUUGGUCGGCCACAUUGGGACUGAGAUACGGCCCAG